UGUAUUUUUUCCCACAAUUUCAGACUAAAGCAUUUAGUUUCUCUCUCCUCCUUCAUUUGCAUCCGCAACCUUUCUCUCUCCUAUUUUCUCCAUUCUUCUUCAAAUUACAUUCUACUUCUUCAAAUCACAGUUGUAAAUCUUAUAAUUACUUCGAUUCUUCAUCAAAUUGGUUGAUAUUAUCGUCUACGAUCUAUCAAUUCAAACGCAGCAUGUAGUGACAGAAUUAGACACACACACGCUGUGUUUGAUUGUGUUGCUGUCAAAGACUUGUGGGAUGCAGCUAAUUGCACACAAUUGUUUGGCUGUCAUAAGGAGUAAAGCAUGAUUGUUUUCUGGCAGAAAUUUAAUCCCAAAUUGGUGCGAAAAGGCGUGGCUCUAAUGUGGUAUAUUUGGGGUUGUAGGAAUGAUAAGAUAUUCAAUAACAAGGACACUCCUCAUCAUCCUGUUAUUAUUGAGAGAACCCUACGAUUUGUGGAGGACUUUGAUAAGUACUCUGAUAAGAUUUAUGGGUUAGAAAACCCUCUGCUGGAAGUAUGUCAAAGAGCUAGAAGGCACCUACAGUAGGAGUGCUUAAGGCUAAUUGUGAUGCUUGAUCUUGUGGUAAAUUGGAGUGCUUACGACUGGCUAGGUGAAUGAAGGUGGCUGUUAGUUGUUGCAGGAAUGCGUAGCUAUUAUGUAUAUAGCAAUCUUAAUUUAAAUAUUGUAACAUUGAUGUAGUUACCUUAUUUUUGUAUAUAGUGACCUUUAUUUUGUGUAUAGUGACCUUUAUGUAAAUAGAGUCAAAAACUCAAAAUCGAUAUAGUUACCUUAUUUCUGUACAUAGUGAACUUUAUGUAAAUGGUGUUAAAAACUCAAAGUCGAUAUAGUUACCUUAUUUCUGUACAUAGUGAUCUUUAUGUGAAUGUUGUCAAAAUUGAUAUAAUUA